CCUACGGGGGGCAGCAGUGGGGGAUAUUGCACAAUGGGGGGAACCCUGAUGCAGCGACGCCGCGUGGGUGAAGAAGCGCCUCGGCGCGUAAAGCCCUGUCAGCAGGGAAGAAAAUGACGGUACCUGAAGAAGAAGCCCCGGCUAACUCCGUGCCAGCAGCCGCGGGAAUACGUAGGGGGCAAGCGUUAUCCGGAUUUACUGGGUGUAAAGGGGGCGCAGACGGGGAUGCAAGCCAGGAGUGAAAGCCCGGGGCCCAACCCCGGGACUGCUCUUGGAACUGCGUGGCUGGAGUGCAGGAGGGGCAGGCGGAAUUCGUGGUGUAGCGGUGAAAUGCGUAGAUAUCAGGAGGAACACCGGUGGCGAAGGCGGCCUGCUGGACUGCAACUGACGUUGAGGCCCGAAAGCGUGGGGAGCAAACAGGAUUAGAUACCCGUGUAGUC
rnacentral:rRNA from 1 species